rnacentral:rRNA from 1 species
AUUGAACGCUGGCGGCAGGCCUAACACAUGCAAGUCGAACGAGUGGCGGACGGGUGAGUAAUGUCUGGGAAACUGCCCGAUGGAGGGGGAUAACUACUGGAAACGGUAGCUAAUACCGCAUACCAUCGGAUGUGCCCAGAUGGGAGUAGCUAGUAGGUGGGGUAACGGCUCACCUAGGCGACGAUCCCUAGCUGGUCUGCGAGGAUGACCAGCGACACGGGAACUGAGACACGGUCCAGACGCCUACGGGAGGCAGCAGUGGGGAAUCGUGCACAAUGGGCGCAAGCCUGAUGCAGCCAUGCCGCGUGUAUGAAGAAGGCCUUCGGGUUGUAAAGUACUUUCAGCGAGGAGGCGUUACUCGCAGAAGAAGCACCGGCUAACUCCGUGCCAGCCGCCGCGGUAAUUC